rnacentral:rRNA from 1 species
AUUGAACGCUGGCGGCAUGCCUUACACAUGCAAGUCGAACGGCAGCACGGGUGCUUGCACCUGGUGGCGAGUGGCGAACGGGUGAGUAAUACAUCGGAACGUACCUUAUCGUGGGGGAUAACGCAGCGAAAGCUGUGCUAAUACCGCAUACGCCCUGAGGGGGAAAGCGGGGGAUCGCAAGACCUCGCGCGAUUAGAGCGGCCGAUGCCUGAUUAGCUUGUUGGUGGGGUAAAAGCCCACCAAGGCGACGAUCAGUAGCUGGCCUGAGAGGACGAUCAGCCACACUGGGACUGAGACACGGCCCAGACUCCUACGGGAGGCAGCAGUGGGGAAUUUUGGACAAUGGGGGCAACCCUGAUCCAGCAAUGCCGCGUGAGUGAAGAAGGCCUUCGGGUUGUAAAGCUCUUUUGUCAGGGAAGAGACACCGGCUCUAACACAGUCUGGGAAUGACGGUACCUGAAGAAUAAGCACCGGCUAACUACGUGCCAGCCGCCGCCGUAA